ACCGGCGCACGGGUGCGUAACGCGUAUACAAUCUGCCUUUUAUCCGGGGGAUAGCCCGAAGAAAUUUGGAUUAAUACCCCAUAAUAUUAUUAGAUGGCAUCAUUUGAUAAUUAAAACUGCGGUGGUGUAAGAUGGGCAUGCGUCCUAUCAGCUAGUUGGAGUGGUAACGGCACCCCAAGGCUACGAUAGGUAGGGGUCCUGAGAGGGAGAUCCCCCACACUGGUACUGAGACAGGGACCAGACUCCUACGGGAGGCAGCAGUGAGGAAUAUUGGUCAAUGGCCGGAAGACUGAACCAGCCAUGCCGCGUGCAGGAAGAAUGCCUUAUGGGUUGUAAACUGCUUUUAUAUGGGAAGAAUAAGGCGUACGUGUACGUUGAUGACGGUACCAUAUGAAUAAGCAUCGGCUAACUCCGUGCCAGCAGCCGCGGUAAUACGGAGGAUGCGAGCGUUAUUCGGAAUCAUUGGGUUUAAAGGGUCUGUAGGCGGGCUAUUAAGUCAGGGGUGAAAGGUUUCAGCUUAACUGAGAAAUUGCCUUUGAUACUGGUAGUCUUGAAUAUCUGUGAAGUUCUUGGAAUGUGUAGUGUAGCGGUGAAAUGCUUAGAUAUUACACAGAACACCGAUUGCGAAGGCAGGGGACUAACAGACAAUUGACGCUGAGAGACGAAAGCGUGGGGAGCGAACAGGAUUAGAUACCCUGGUAGUCCACGCUGUAAACGAUGGAUACUAGCUGUUUGGUGAUAAGCUGAGUGGCUAAGCGAAAGU
rnacentral:rRNA from 1 species